rnacentral:rRNA from 1 species
GAUGAACGCUGGCGGCAUGCCUAAGACAUGCAAGUCGAACGAGAGGGCCCAAGGAGAGAGAAAGAAAUGGAAAGUGCUUGCACUGGAAAUGGAAAGCUUUCGAAUUGGAAUUUCCCUCGAGUGGCAAACGGGUGAGUAACACGUGGGUUACCUACCUCUAUGAUGGGGAUAACAGUUGGAAACGAUUGCUAAUACCGAAUGUGCUCUACGGAGUAAAGAAGCCCUUAAAGCUUCGCAUAGAGAUGGGCCUGCGGUGCAUAGCUAGUUGGUGGGGUAAUGGCCUACCAAGGCAGCGAUGCAUAGCCGAGCUGAGAGGUUGAUCGGCCACACUGGGACUGAGACACGGCCCAGA